GAAAUGCGAUACGUAAUGUGAAUUGCAGAAUUCAGUGAAUCAUCGAGUCUUUGAACGCACAUUGCGCCCCCUGGUAUUCCGGGGGGGCAUGCCUGUCCGAGCGUCAUUGCUGCCCUCAAGCACGGCUUGUGUGUUGGGCCCCCGUCCCCCCCCCAAGGGGACGGGCCCGAAAGGCAGCGGCGGCACCGUGUCCGGUCCUCGAGCGUAUGGGAAGCAACUUUUUGUCACCCGCUCCUGUAGGUCCGGCCGGCGGCCUGCCCAACCCCAACCUUUUUUUCAACCAGGUUGACCUCGGAUCAGGUAGGGAUACCCGCUGAACUUAAGC
rnacentral:misc_RNA from 1 species